rnacentral:rRNA from 1 species
UACGUAGGGAGCAAGCGUUGUCCGGAAUCAUUGGGCGUAAAGCGCGCGUAGGCGGCCCUGUAAGUCCGUUGUGAAAGUCAAAGGCUCAACCUUUGAAAGCCGAUGGAUACUGCAGGGCUGGAGUCCGGAAGAGGCGAGUGGAAUUCCUGGUGUAGCGGUGGAAUGCGCAGAUAUCAGGAGGAACACCAAUAGCGAAGGCAGCUCGCUGGGACGGUACUGACGCUGAGGCGCGAAAGCGUGGGGAGCGAAUGGG